GAAGCUGGAAACCAUCAUUCUCAGCAAACUAUUGCAAGAACAAAAAACCAAACACCGCAUGUUCUCACUCAUAGGUGGGAAUUGAACAAUGCGAACUCAUGGACACAGGAAGGGGACCAUCACACACCGGGGCCUGCUGUGGGGUGGGGGGAGGGGGAGGGAUAGCAUUAGGAGAUAUACCUAAUGUUAAAUGAUGAGUUACUGGGUGCAGCACACCAACAUGGCACAUGUAUACACAUGUAACUAAUCUGCAUGUUGUGCACAUGUACCCUAAAACUUAAAGUAUAAUAAAAAAAAUAAAAAUAAACUAUAAAGAUUGAAGGAUCAAAGACGGAUUCAUGGAAGAAGAGGCAACUAAAUGGGACCUUGAAAGAAAGGUAGGAGGUGUACAGAUAAAGGGGAGACAGGCAGUGAGUCUCCAUAAUAGUCGGGCACUAGAGUGAGCAGCAGGCAGCAUGGACACUGGCUAUCCAUUUUGUACUACAUCCAGAAUGUUUCCCUGCAUCCUGCAAGAAAUCCGAGAUGAUUCCCUGUUUACUCAUGUGAGGAUUUCGCCAAUAAUUUCCCAUUAACUACAGUGAUAUUAGCAUGCCUCUCUUUUAUACAACCACUAACAGAUUAGUAAAGAUUACUAAAGAAAGAAAGAUUACCUCUAACACAAAGUCUGAAGGCCCACACUAAUACUCACAUGUAAAAUGCUUAGUACUUACUAGUCACUUAGUAAGUAUUCAAUAAAUUUCUUUUUUUCUUUUUUUUUUUAAAUUUGAGACAGUCUCACUUGGUCACCCACGCUGGAGUGCAGUGGUGCAGUCUCAGCUCACUGCAGCCUUGGCCUCCUGGGUUCAAGGUCAGGAGUUUGAGACCAGCCUGAACAACAUGGUGAAACUCUGUCUCUAUUAAAAAUACAAAAAUUAGCCAGGCAUGGUGGCACAUGCCUGUAGUCCCAGUUACUUGGGAGGCUGAGGCAGGGGAAUCGCUUGAACCCAGGAGGCGGAGAUUGCACUGAGCUGAGAUUACGCCACUGCGCUGCAACCUGCUGAGUGACAGAGCGAGACUCUGUCUGAAGAAAAAAAAAAAAUCAAUUUGGCAACUAUAUUCUCAUCCCAAACAGCAUUAGGAUAGAUCUGGUUUCAGUAAUAACAGUGUUACUCGUUUACUUAAGCAUAAUCUGCAUGUUCUGAAAACAAAACAAUAUUGAAAAGAAGCAAGAGAAUACUUGCCUGUCAUUAAGGUAGUCCUGCCUAAGAGAACUGCUCCUAGAUGGUUUAAUAUUGGUUCCUAGCAAAAAUUAUGAUCCAUAAGCAUUAUUUCCCACAGCCAUGUGGAAACCAUAUGGCUUGGACAAGUUAUUCUUUAGGCCAGUGUCUGAGAAUGAAUGAAGAUCCUAGGCUUGGGAUUCUAACACUGGCAGAGUAGAAUCUCUGUCAAGCUGUAAGAGCUGCAGAGAAACACUGAAGAAAUGGGUCUGUAUAAAUUCCCUACAAUGGCUGUCUUACAGGGGUAUUAGGCUCUGAGGCCCAAAUACAGGCUUUCUCUUCCAUGUCUAUAACACCUUAAUGUUUUCAAAAGACUCAUAUACAUUUGCUCAUUUAACUCCCCCCCCAAUUGUAUCACCUUAUUAUCCCCAUUUUGUAAAUAACAAAAGCAGACUCACAAAUAACUGCUAAAGGCAAAUGACCUACACAAAGUGACAGACUGAGAAUGUAAUCCAGUGAAUCUAAGACUUUCCUAUUCCAAACCAGGGUUUUCUGCACUUAGAAAACAGGGUUUGCAAAGCGAUUUGUAUAUUCAAAAAUAAAUGCCUGUUAUGCUCUAGAGAAUACAGUUGUGAAAUGGACAAAAUUUUUACCCUUAUUACAUUUAUGUUCUAGCGGAAAAGAAAGAAAAUAAGUUAAAUAUAUAAUACACUUUCAUGCAGUGGCAAGUUUAUGCAGAAAACCAAAACACAGUCAAGAAUAUUAUUCUAAAGUAGUAGUAUUUCAGCAGACACCUGGAUGAAGCGAGAGAACGAGUCAUGUGAAACUCUGGGGACGAGCAUUCCUGCAGAGGGGAACAUGAGCACAAAGGCCCUGACAUAGGAAGGAACUUCACCUCUGAAGAAGAGGAAGAAAGCAAUAUGGCUAAGCUGGGCAAACUUGGACAAGUCACUUAUACUCAUUCAAUUUCCUCAUCUAUGUAAUAUGGAAAUAGCAAAACCACCUCUCAGGAUUGACAGAACAUGGAAAUGAGAUGUCCGUGCACAUCCUGUAAAUUGUAAAGGUGCUGAAUCAAGGUCAAUUUUCUUGUUUCCUUUGUUAUUUCUGGUAAAUGUUUAAAUGACUCAUGACUCAUUUAAGCCUCAGGUUGUAAAUACAAUUAUGUCUUAACAGAUACCAUUAUAAAAGACUUACCUUUAUUUCAUUCACUCUUAUUUCACUUGUUUAGCACUUUACGCUUUUAAAGGGUAUAAGACAAAAUUUACUCUUCUUACUUGUAUUUCUUACGUACUAUCAUUACUUGAUUCUUAAUACAUAGUAGGUACUACUGCUCCUAUAUGACUGAUGAGAAAAUUGAGACAGCCAGGUUCUAAUGAAAGCCUGAUAUCCUGGUCUCACUGCCCUUCUCUCUUGGCCUUUAGUCAGAAUACUGUGAUCCUAGUGUAUAAUCCAUCUGGCAUCAAGGCCUGGCCAUAUUAGAGAAAUUUCUCACACAUUGAAAGUUAAAGCAAUUCCAUGAUCAUUGGUGAAAAAAAAUUACUAUUCGUUAGAUGCAGUACUUAAGGGUUUGUAAAAUGUUUUCUUGGUUCUUCCCAACAUAUGAUAAACAUGUAUUAGCUUUUAGAUGUAAGAGGCACUAUCAAGACAUAGAAGGAUUGGCCCACUUUAUGCAAUGACUUAAAACUGGAAAAAUGUAAUUGUUCUGCAUUGCUUUAUAUUUAGUAAUAUUCCUUGUCACUGCCUGAUUCAUUCAUUCAUUUAACCAAGAUUUGAGUGUCUACUCUGUGCUAGGCAAUGUGCUGGGUUGCUUGUUUUACAGUGGUACCACUGCGUUGUUAUUACUAAAAAUAGGAAAAAAAUCACAUUAUUAAGACAAAAAGAACAUAAAACUUAUUUAUGGUGAUAUUUUUUAAAUGGAAUUAUGUACAUCCAAGUUUUUUUUUUUAAUGGCAAUUUUUAAAAAUAUCUGAGCAGCCCUCUCUGGGCCUCCUUUUCCCAGGAAUAUGUAUUACCUUCAUUUUCUAUACCCCUGAUAGCUACACUUUUAAUUGCGGUACAAAUAAAUUACAUGAAUAAUAGCAGAGAAAUGUCCUAGAAGUCCCAAAGUAUGGUGAAGAGAUGAUUUCAACUAAGAUAAUGACUCUACAUUUUCUUUAUACCCUCUUUCUGCAUGUCAGUCAUUAGCAACAAGUCCCAACAUCUAGUGGAGAAAAAGCAGCAUGCAUCAUAGUAUAUCUUGAGGAACACCACUUCUAAAGACUUACAUUUAUGUGAUGGGGUUAAGAGUCUUACGGUCAAUAAGUGUGGGAAUGUCAGGUUAAACAAACUAAACAUAUUUCAUUAUCACAAGGCUGCUCAAAGUCUUUAUUGCAUCAUGAAACUUGUGGAGCUCCAAGAAGGUGGCCUUUGGAAACUUACUGGACCAUGGAACCCUAGUUUAGAAGAGCAAACUGAGAGCUAAAAUAGUGUUUAGUCUAAUAUAUCUAGAAAGCUCUGCAUUGGGAGAUUUCCAUUUACAGCUACAAGUGACAUGAAUGUUUUAGUAGGCUGCCGAUCCUUUAAUGUGAGUUGAGCAGACACAGAAUAAAUAUAUGCCCCUCAAAUGUGGAGGAGAGACCAUUCACAAUGUGGUAAGCGCCAUGAAAACAAGGACUGCAUUUGGUUCUGGUUUCUACUAUAGCUCCAACAUCUAGCACUACCUAGCACAUAGUAGACACUUGAUCAAAUUUGUUUCAUAAAUGUACAAAGGAAUGAAUUUUAUAGAAAUGACAGAAGGCUCAUGGAGAUUUUGGAAUGAGUGGCCACACUGUUUUUCUGUCUUUAAUGAUUUUAAUUUCCAUAUCUAGACUUUAAGACGGUACUUAAUUUAUUUUCUUAGAACAAAGGAGUAAGAAUUAUUCCAACAGCCUUUUGCAUCACGACCCUGUAUUAAUCUAAUAAAAGAAAGGUUACACUCCUAUUUGUUGAUGAACAGCACAUUAAUGAGAUCUUCUUGAAAUAAUCCCAUCUCUAUUAUGGAGGCAAAAUUACAUUUUCCAGCAUAAUUACUGUGUCAGUCAAGCUCCCAAAUUUUGAUAUUAAUUUUUUCCCUUGCAAAGGCAAUAUUAACUUAUUAGUUUGUCAAACCUCUGGAAAAUCAAGGGUAACCUCAUAGUUUUAAAUAGUGAUUAUCAACCUCUACUGCUCUGUUUGUUUGUUUUAGGAUGGAGUCUUGCUUCACUGGCCAGGCUGGAGUGCAGUGGCACGAUCUCGGCUCACUGCAAUCCCGCCUCGCGGUUCAAGCAAUUAUGGUGCCUCAGCCUCCUGAGUAGGUGGGAUUACAGGUGUGUGCAACCAUGCCUGGCUAAUUUUUGUAUUUUUAGUAGAGACGGGGUUUUGCCAUGUUGGCCAGGCUGGUCUGGAACUCCUGGCCUCAAUCAAUUCACCUGCCUAGGCCUCUCAAAGUGCUGGGAUUACAGGAGUGAGCUGUAGCACCCGGCCUCUACUGCUCUCUUAUUCUUAUUCUAUCUUUUGUAUAUCUUCCUACCAGCCAGAAGGACUGGGUAAGUUUUAUUUUCUAUAACAGAUUUUGAAAGAAGGAUUAAUGAGUCUCCUUAAAAUGUGCUUUUAAAUUACACAUCACUUACCUUCCUUUACCUUUUCUUAAGAUUCUAUAGCAUAAGUUCUUUGAAGGCUGGGACUUUGAAUGUUUUCUCUACAGUUAUAUCCCUAGCACCAAAGACAAUGCUAGAAUGAAGCAGGUGCUCUAAAAACUCUGCUGAAUGAAUGCCAUGUUUCUCCUCCAACUGAGACUCACUGUUUCAAAGUAAAAUAUCUGUUUCUGUCUCUCUCUCUCUCUCUAACAUACACAUACACACACCAAGGAAUACAGGGAAGUCUUGCUGUAUAUUAUGGCAUUUUUUCCCAUGAAAAAUACAUACAUCAUGGAAGUUUGGUUCUAACAGAUCAUUUAGAUGAGUUUUGGACAGCCUCUGCAUUGCUUAAUGUCAACAAACCUCCUCUUCUUCUGAGCUUUACCCCACCUGAGCCAUAGAACCAAGUUAGGAAAGAAUCAUGACUCACAUUAUUCACCUGAUCAGGGCUUGGGACAUAGGGCUAAUCUUGAGCUAUGAGCCUGAUAGAUCUCAAAAGAAAAGGAUAUUCUCCAACAUUGUUCAUUCGGGAUAUUUUAUUUUGCAGCUAACCUUGUUUUACUAGAAAAAAUAUUUUCCUUUUUAUUAUAAAUUGUUUAUAUCUGCUUAAGUCUGAUUUUGUUGUAGAUUGGGACCACGAUUUCUCUAUAGAAUAGUAUAGGUUCUAUUUUAAAAAUACAACCCAAUAGGAUAAGAUUCAGUACAUUAACUUACUAGCUCUAUGACCUUGGUCAAGGUACUGAACAUCUCUGAGUCUGUUAUGAGAAUAUUAAUAGCAUGUUUUUCCUAAAUUGUUUUGAGGAUUAAAUGAGAUAGAUAAUCAUCCAUGUGAGUGCUGGCUACUUUCAUUAACACAGUCUCUGAAGGGUUGAUGGACUAAUAGCUAUGAUGAUUAAGUACCUAAACAAGUUCAUCACUUCCUCGAGUCCUCCUUUUAUUUUCUAACAAGCCACUUUCCCCUAUUCGACCCAAAGAAGUAGACACCCACAACAAGUAUGCUUUAUGGGUCCUAUUUUAUUACCAAGUAUGAAUCCCUCCUGCAGAGUUUAGAUAGGAUUUCUGGGUCACUUCUGGGUGAGUGGUAUAAUUUCAGGUAGUCAUUCAUGUGGCCCCCUGUAUUUCUUUUCACAGCCUACGUGACAAUCUUCUUUCCUCAGGCGAUUCCUUAAAAAGACUUGGUUGGCUAGGGAUUCAACCCUUCACUUUAGUGUAUCAAAAAUUCCUAACCUGAGGGAACGAGUGCCAAAAGCUAGUAGCAUGCUGGGCUGGAGCAUCUGUGCCUGGCCUUUUCAUCUAUGCAACUUGCCGGUAAUUGCUAAGUUUUCCCUCCUGCAACAAUUAUCCCCCCAUUUUUCUCCCUGCCCCGCACCGUACCCCCCAGUUAAUUAUCAGUUCUGGAAUUAAACUGCUUGCCUCUCCUGCUGUUGCCAUGGUAACAGUUGGCCUGCACCUGCCACUUGGUGAACAGUGGCUCUUUCAGAAGAGGCAAUGGCAGCUGAUGGCUCCACAGCCAGUGAGUAAACUAAUGUUUACCUGUCUGGGGAGAGAAGUUCCUGUUCAUUCCACCUUAGGCACUUUCCUGGCAAGCCCCACCUCAACUUUCUUCUCAGACAAACUGCUUGUUGACAUUCAACAAAGAAAAUGAAAAAAUUUUCUCAUAAAAGUACCAAAUCCCUGUUGGCUUGUCAUAAUUCCAUCCAUCAGCUUUACUUUUUCCUGGCCAUGAGGUUGGAAGAUAUGAAUCUUCCAUCUUCUGACAAAGGCAGUACAGUAUAAUAGUUGGAAGCAUAGAAUUUUAACCCUGAUAGAUCUGGGUUCUAAUCCAGGUUGAGUCACUUUCUAACUGUGUGAUCACGGCUUAGUCACUUAAUUUCUUAUAACAUCACUAUCUUCAUAUACACAAACAAAAAUGGGAUUAGAAUAACUGUCCUCACAGAGUUGUUUUAAAACUUUGAAAUUAUAUAUGUAGAUCUAGCUCCUAGUUAAUGUUCAAUACACAGGCAGGUAUUACUGCUGGAUAACUAUUAACCCUGGACAAUCCUGAAAGGUAGCGAGAAGUUGGCAGCUUAGUGAGUUUUAACUAGUCUUUGUAUGAGAGACAAUAAUACCUGUACAGGUGGGAGAAAAUGGCAGCUGUCCCAAAGUAUCUAGACCAAGAUGCAUCUAGCAGCUGAGAAAUGCCUCUCUCCCUGCUUUUGCUGCAACUCUGUCAGGUUCUCCCUCUUUGCACUGUUUUUCUCAUGCUCAAUCUCACUUCCCUCUAAAUAGAAAUGAUGAAACCAGAGGGUAAGACAUGUACUCACCAAGAAAACAAAAUGCCUUUCCAUUUUAUAACCACAUUGCGAACCUACAGGGAACAACUGGUAGUGGUGCUAAGAAGGAAUGAGGCAUUUAUAUAAGAAAAUGUUUUUCUUCGCUGAACUCCCUGCUUAUAGACAAGAAAGCAUUUAUUUUAUGAACCUGCAACCAUUCAUGUUUAGGUCCUGGGUCCAAACAAGUAUAGGCACAUGAAUUUGCCUCAUGGUUUGUAAAACCUCACCAUUUAGGGUACUCCAGUUGUAACUCAGCCUUUGGCUACAUUUCUUAAAGUUCUGAAGCCACCUCCCUACAGUUCUAAUUUUAAGAAAAUCUGCACUCAUCGACUCUGAACUUCACAUCAUCUAGGAAAGAAAACAAACAAACAAAAAACUCCACCAGCAUAUGCUGCCAGCAUGAGUUACAGAUGCCUGCUGUUUCAGCUUCUGGAUAAAGAGGUAACUGCAGUUCAGUGACAUAGAGCUACAAAAAAAAAAAAAAAAAAAAAAGAAGGACCCCCGGAAGCUGCUGGGAAAAUAGAAUUACUGACCUCUUGCCUGCCUCUCACUGGGAAAAAAUGUGACAAGAUGCUUAAGACCAGCAGGUUUCUCCUAAAAUGAAAAAGACACCAUCACCACCAAUUUUGCUGUGGCUGUCCACAGGUGAGGGAGGCAUAACCAAGGACAUCAAAUUUAGUUAUUCUUAAAACAUAGACUGAAGUUGUGUGACUUCCUAAAAUCCACUCUGCUUAGUGCUAAUCCAAAAUAGCUAUGAAGACAAAUAAGGAAGAAGAGAAUUAGGCUGCAGCUAGACUCCUCAGCAUUGGAUCUAACUCAGGGACCAAUGUGGCAUUCCUUCACAUCAACUUAAUUGUUUGAUUACCUUUUAAGGAAAACCUCUAAAUCCUUAAAUCUAUUUGGAAGAUGGUGCUUCAAUGUUGCUUUUCUCCAUUAAUUUAGAAGGAACUAAACUACAGCAGGUCCUUGAAUAGAGUCUUUUCAUUCAACUUUUUUUUUUAUAAUGUUGAUGAGGAAAAAUAAAGGCGGGGGGAUUCCCAGUCCGGGCCACUGUGUGUGGAGUUUGUACUUUCUCCCCAUGUCUGCAUGGGUUUUCUCCAGGUACUCUGGUUUCCUCCCACAUCUCAAAGAUGUGCACCUUAGGUGAACUGGUGUGUCUAAAUUGUCAUAGUCUGAGUGAGUGUGGGUGUGAGUGCAGCCUGCAAUGAAAUGGCAUCCUGGCCAGGGCAGGUUCCCACUUUGUGCCCUGAGCUGCUCCAGCCACUCAUGACUGUGAACUGGAAUAAUGGGGUAAAUAAUUAUCUUGCUUGUUUUAUUAAUCGUUCUUAAAUCUUUCUUAACUCUUGUUUAUAUCAACUGGUCUAUGGUAAAAUUGGUUUCGUUAUACAUCAUUUCACUUAAAGCUGCUGUUUCCAAGAACCUAUGAAUGAUGUUAAGUGAGGACUUACUGUGCUUUCCAAACUUGACUUUAAAUUAGAGGAAGACAGGAGAAAAUUUUUCCAAUCUAUCCAUCUGACAAAGGCCUAAUAUCUAGAGUCUACAUGGAACUUAAACAAAUUUACAAGAAAAAAACAACCCCAUUAAAAAGUGGGCAUGAAUACGCCCUUCUCCAAAGAAGACAUACAAGUAGCCAACAAACAAAAAAGCUCAAUAUCACUGAUCAUUAGAGAAAUGCAAAUCAAAAUUACAAUGAGAUACCAUCUCACACCAGUCAGAAUAACAGAUUCUGGCAAGGUGCAGAGAAAAACCUGUUGGUGGGAGUGUAAAUUACUUCAACCAUUGUGGAAGAGUGUGUGGUGAUUCCUCAAAGACCUAGAACCAGAAAUACCAUUUGACCCAGCAAUCCCAUUAUUUAGCAUAUACCCAAAGGAAUAUAAAUCAUUCUAUUAUAAAGAUACAUGCAUGCAUAUAUUCAUUGCAGCAAUAUUCACAAUAGCAAAGACAUGGAAUCAACCCAAAUGUCCAUCACUGAUAGACUGGAUAAAGAAAAUGUGAUACAUAUACACCAUGGAAUACUAUGCAGCCACAGAAAGGAAUGAGAUCAUGUCCUUUUCAGGGGCAUGGAUGGAGUUGGAAGCCAUUAUCCUCAGGAAACUAACAUAGGAACAGAAAACCAAGCACUGCACAUUCUCACUUUAAGUGGGAGCUGAAUGAUGAGAACACAUGGACUCAUGGGGGGAACACCACAAAUUGGGGCCUGUCAGAGGGUUGGGUGUGGGAGGAAGAAGAGCAUCAGGAAGAAUAGCUAAUGGAUGCUGGGCUUAAUACCUAAGCGAUGGGACGAUCUGUGCAGCAAACCAGCAUGGCACACGUUUACCUAUGUAACAAACCUGCACGUCCUGCACAUGUACCCCUGAACUUAAACACUGAAGAAGAAAUAAAAAAAAAAACAGGGUGCCCAGUUAAAUUUAAAUUUCAGAUAACAGUGAAUGUUUUUAAAUAUUUCUUAAUUUUUAAAUGUUAUUGACAAAUAAGAAUUGUGUAUAUUUAUAGGAUACAAUGUGAUGUUUGAUAUGUGUAAAUAUUGUGGAACAAUUACGUAAAGCUAGUUAAUAUAUCCAUGACUUCACAUACUUAUUUUUUGUGUUAAGAACAUUUAAGAUAUAAUCUUUUAGCAAUUCUGAAAUACAUAAUGAAUUUUUUAGCAUGAGUAUCUUCCAAAUAUUGUGUAGCACAUACUCAUACUAAUUUUUUUUGUUGUUUAUAUAAAUUCCAGUUAAAAAGGGUGUUCUGUAUUUUAUCUGGCUACUCUAAUAGGGAAAUGAGCAGAAAAGCCCUAAGAAGGCAAAACAGCUGUCACAAAUCCCUGGUAUACAGGUACUCUGAGAUAAUUUAUCCAUUGAACAAACACCUCCAACCUAUUUUGUCAUGUGGUUUAGUGUACACUAGGGCAAAUAUGUACAGUUGUGCACAGGGUGCUUACAACAUAAUUAUUUACUGGGCACACCAUUCAUAAUGUUGACAUCAAGUUUUACUUAUUUUUAACUAUUCUCUGGCAUAUGAUAGUAUCCUACUCUAACAAAGUCAGCACAUUACGACAAUUUUUUGGCAGAUGGAAUUAGGCAUCUUGAGGAAAGGGCACCUUUUUCUAGUUCACGCCAAGGUAUCAUGGACAUGGUAACCCUGUAUCCAUGGCAGAUUAGCAUAAAAUUUGCUGCAGUGUUUUUCAAACCAUGGAUUGUAACCCACUGAUGAGCUGGGAAAUCAUUUUAGUGGGUCACAAACAUUAGUGAUGAUAAUGAUGGAAUAGAAUAUCAGUGUCUUUUAUGUAAUAAACGUGGUGGAAAAAAAGAAAAGAAAGAAUAAAUUAGAGGAAGGCAGAAGCUAUCAAAACAGACACAAAUCAAAUAGACAAUUCCCUUCUACAACUACUUUACCUCAGUUGCUUAGUUUUCCAACUAAAAGAGCAACCCCCAAAAGGGGAAUACUUUAAAUGCUUCAAAACAUAUUUGUCCUUUAAGUAUAGUAAGAUGUGAGAUUUUGAUGGGGAAACAAAAAUGUAAAGAAAGCAAUUUACCCAUAACAAAUCAUGAGAUGUGACUGGAGGAAGAAACCUGUAAGAUUCAGAAGUCUGUCCAUUUCUUCUAUAAGGGGGCAAUGCUGUAGUCAAGAGGUAAAGCGUAACAGAAAACAGUAACAACUUCUGGUGCCUCAACAUGGUACACUUCACCCUUUACAAGCUGGACUCAACCCACCUUCUAGUCUAGUCUCCUACCCCAGGCCAGUCAUGCAGUUAUUCACCAUUCCCCGCACAGCACAUGUGUUUUCACUCCUUGAGCCUUCCUACUUACCUCUUUGCUUAGACAGCUUUCCUGUUUUUCCAAUCUGAAGAAGCCUAGACCUAUCCAUUUGUCAAGGUCCAGAAGAAACGCUAUAUUUUCUGAUUCUUUAUCCUGAGUUAGUUGGAACCUACUCUACAUCCAACAUUUUUUUCAGAGAAUCAUUAUACUGCAAUAGUUAAGAGCUUGCAGUCUGGAGUCAGACUACUUGAGUUUGAAUGCUGGCUCUACCACUUUUUAGCUGUGUGACCUCAUGAGUGUAUAACCUCUCUGCGACUCAGUUUUUUCAUUCAAAUUAGAAAUAAAAAUAAUAUAUUAAUGAUAUUAAUGUAUAAUUAAUAUUAUAAUUAUAUUUAAUAUAUUAAUAUAAUUGUAUAUUUAUAUGUAAUAUAUAAUACAUAACAUAUAACAUUAAUAUAAUUAUAUUUAAUAUAAUUAUAUUUAAUAUAGUUAAUAUAAUUAUAUUUAAUAUAAUUAUAUAUAAUACAAUUAAUAUAAUUAUAUAUAAUACAAUUAAUAUAAUUAUAUAUAAAAUACAAUUAAUAUAAUUAAUAUAAUUAUAUAUAAUACAAUUAAUAUAAUUAAUAUAAUUAUAUAUAAUACAAUUAAUAUAAUUAAUAUAAUUAUAUAUAAUACAAUUAAUAUAAUUAUAUUUAAUAUAAUUAUAUAUAAUACAAUUAAUAUAAUUAUAUUAAUUGUAAUUAAUAUAAUUAUAUUUAAUAUAAUAUUAAUAUAUUAACAUUAAUUAUUAGGACUGUUGUCCUAUAUAUAUAGACCAUAUAUAUAUAUAUCCAUAUAUAUAGAUAAUAUAUGUAAAUGUUUAAAAUACUUCCUCACAUAUAGUUGGCACUCAAUGCUUCUUUAUAAUUUAUCAUAAUAAUUAUUACACUGCACUUAAAUAUAAAAUUUAAAUUGCUGGCUAGAUGUGGUGGCUCAUGCCUGUAUUCUCAGCACUUUGGGAGGCCGAAGCAGGAGGAUCACUUGACCCCAGUAGUUCAAAACCAGCUUGGGGAACAAAGUGAGACUUCAUCUCUACAAAAAAUAAAAAAAUUAGCCAGGCAUGGUGGCAUGAACCUAUUGUCCCAGCUACUCGCUGAUGGGGGUGGGAGGCUGAGUUGGGAGGAUCACUUAAGCCAGGGAGGUUGAGGCUGCGGUGAGCUGUGAUUGUACUAUUACACUCUAGCCUAGGUGACAAAGCAAGUCCCUGUCUCAUAAAUAAAUAAAUAGAUAGAUAGAUAAAAUUAAAAUGGUUUAUUUAGCUCUCUUUCAAACUAGAUUUUGAGAUCUUUAAAUGCAGGAACAAAGUCUUAGUUAUAUCCAUAUCCCUAAGGCCUAGCAGAGGGCCUGGCAUUAGGCGCUCUAAGAUGUUUGUUGAAAGAAAGAAUUCCUCUGCAAUCUUUGUUGUCUGAGAGGUUAGGGAAUAGAGCUCCUAGUGGGAAAUGUUAUCCUGAUAAGUUCCGAGGCCAAAUAUAUAAACAAGGUUAGCCUGCCAAGCAUCGUAACUACUGUACCGGAUGGCAAACAAAUUGAUUAGAGUUAAACCAUAGCAUGCAAAGUGGCAUCCAUGCCCCUUCCUCUUGGGCCCUUUUUUCUUAGCAUUAUAAAGUAGGUAGAUGUAUGUUAAAAAUAUAGGCUGCUUCUAGUCAACAUUUCCAGGUGGAGGCAGAUGCAAUAAGCUAGAGGCACUUCAGCUGAAUUUUCCAGCUGUGAAUGGAAUCUCUGGUUAAUAUACUAACAUGCACAAAAUAAAGUUGUGACUCUUACGGGCAAAUUUCUGAAUCAAUUAUUUUAGCAAGGAGGUAUGCUUUGGGUAUAGACAGGCAGCACAAUGCAUAGUGUGGCUUCAACUUUCAUCUGACUUAAGUGAGGGAUAAACAAUCCUUAGCAUGGAAAAAUAAGGUCAACUCAGGUUCCAUAACAGGGAAAUGUGACAAUUAAGAGACUCUGUAUGCUGAAGGCCAACUUAGAUGUUGGCACCCCACUUUGCAUAAUAAGCAGUCCUGAUAGUUCCAUUCCAUAUCACAAGUAUCACAGCCAUUUUCUUCAGCUUCCAGAUAGACUUCCUGCAAUGAAGACAACGCAACAACCAAACCACAAAUUUGCAAUCAGAAGACAAAAGAAACCUAAGCGUAUCACUAACUUAGUCCUCUUUCAUCUCUACAACCUAAAUAGAAAGAGAAAUGCCAUAUCUAAGAACAUAUGGUUAUUCAUUUAGAGGGGGAAAAAAAGUACCUAGAAUACAGACCCAAGAUAAUUUUUAAAGAAACAAAAUUGAGGAAAAAAAACCCACCAAAUUAUAGAAUCUGUAAGCAGGUUGUUCCCACUCCAUAUGUGAUAAAAGACUUGUAUUCCUUCUCACAAGGAUAUCCCCAAAACUAGGUGGAGGAAAGAGUGAAGAGGGGUGAGGAUAAUAUUUACAGGGAACUAAAAAUAAGAGUACAAGGAUGUUAAAUGACUUGCCCAAGGUCACACAGUCAGUCACAGACAGAAUCAAAAAUAGAAGCUAGGUCUGCUGACUCUCCUUCAGCUCCUACUCCUUCAGAACACGCUUCCUGUUUGAUCGCAGAAUCGGUAUGGGUCAGAUUCACAGUGAUCUCAGCAGGAGCUUUUUGCCUGAAUAACAGCCAGCUUUGAAGAUGAAAAAUUCUACAGAAGUUCCAAGUGUGGUGUUACUAUUAAAAAGCCAUUUUCCUCUUAGGUUAAAAAAAAUUACAGAAAACCUCAAUAGCAAAUCAAAAUCUAAUCCUGAUCUUCCUCCUUCUCCUCUAAGCACAAGAGUUUAAGGGUCUUUUCCCUCUCUGACUUCCUACCACUACACAACAGCUUUUACGCCAACAGAUCCUAUUGCCACCCCCUCUCCUAGGAUAUAUAUUACUUCUCAGCAGGCUCCAGCAGGAGUAGAGAAGGAGCCAACCUGUGAGGGAGUGAACACAAGAUCUCUCAUAAUAGCACAGAGAAGGCAGAAAAUUGAUGCCAAAAGUGUAAAUUGCUUUUCUGCUUAGGAAAAAAAAAAAAAAUCACUCUGGGCUUCAAAGGUACCUUUUUUUUUUUUUUUUUUUUUUUAGACAGAGUCUUGCUCUGUCACCAGGCUGGACUGCAGUGGCACGAUCUCGGCUCACUGCAACCUCUGACUCCCUGGCUCAAGUGAGUCUCCUGCCUCAGCCUCCCAAGUAGCUGGGAUUAUAGGCACACGCCACCAUGCCCAGCUAAUUUUUGUAUUUUUCAUAGAGACGGGGUUUCACCAUGUUGGCCAGGAUGGUCUCGAUCUCCUGACCUCGUGAUCAGGGUCAGUCUCCCAAAGUCAAAGACACUCUCUUAAAUGAUGACUCCACAGCAGUUAAUACACAUGUUUUACAUAUUAGGACUUUUGUUUCUCCAUGCCCUCCAAGAAUUCUUGCCAGCUAUAUGACUGUGUAUCAUGGAUCUGAGGAGUAAGAUACCAGUUUGAGAGGCAUCAGACAGCUAUUCUGUGGAGUCAAAGGCAGGCUUAGUUGGCUGCUCCCCAGGGAGCACCCCUUUUUCUGCUAACCCUCAGAGGAUACUGUGUGAGAAUGAGACAAAGACAUUCCCUUUAUAAUGACAGAGGCUGAGAGCGGAAGCAACCUGCAGAAAACAGGGGCCACAGCAAUUCAAUGUCAAAGCAAUUGAAGAACUCCCAGGUUAGAGGAACAAGACCAGUCAUAUUCUGAGGACUGUGUGUGAAUCCUCUUGGCUUUUGUAUAGGGUCACAGAGAGAAGCAUGCUGCCAUUUUGAAGAUAGUCCACAUGGUGGCUGAGAGCACUUGGUGGUUAAACUCUGAAGCCAGACUAGAUUCAAGUCAUAGCUCUGCCACUUACUAGCCAUGUGAUCUAAGGCAAAUUAAUCUCUCAAGGCAUUAAUUUCUUCAUUUGACAAGUGGGCUAAUAACUAUAUCAUGAGGUUUGCAUGUAGAUUAAAUUAGAAUAUAUAUAAAGCACUUUGGACAUAAUGAACUGUCAAUAAAUGGUAGCUAUGAUUAUGAUUGUGGUAAAUUAGCAGAAUAACUGCACAAUGAAAUUUAGGGCAAGGAACAGACAUGACUAAAAGCACAACAUUUGGUCCCCUAAUAUCAAACAACUGGGAAAUCAAAACAGAAAAGAGGAAAAAAGGCAAGACACUCCAGCUAGUAGAGAGGGAGGAAGAUCCAUUAUAGACAAAUAUGUUUCCAUAGGACAGGAGUUUUUCUUUUUUCCUUCCACCAUGGAGACUGGUUGGAAUCUAAUUCUCUUUGAACUUCUAUGUAGGCAGUAGAGAAGUGGCUGUGUGAAAAGAAUGCUAGCAAAGGAGACACAGGCAUAAUGAUCCAAGCAGAACUGGAACUCAGUGUCUCCGGCUUCAUUUCUCAUCCAUCCCUUGUGUAGGGACUCCCACACUUCCUUUCUGCGUUCCUUAUACAUCAAACUCUAAUUUAGUACUGUCAGCAAUACAGAAGCCCUUGGAACAAAACUCUAUUUGGCUUGUUGAAAGGGUAAAGUAUGUAUCAUAAAUGAGAAAAAUUUCAGAUCAAAGGCAAUUUGCCUUGAAGGGUUAAUCAGAAUAAAUUGAGCCAAAUGGUAGUUUAAUACAAAUAAAGUGAAUUGAACCAACAAGUAGGAAUUUAAAGGUUAAAAAAGAAAAUCUGACUCCUCCUCCUCCUUUCUGACAAAUCAGAACAUGCACUUAUUUUUGGUACUUAUUGUACCAAAAAGGGAUCCGUCAACUCCUAGUCCAAUGGACUCCUUACUGACCUCCAUAGCAGCCUGGCUCAAGGGAGAUGGCCUGACAUCUUGGUUACAAGAAACUCUAUGCCUUUCCAUUAUCUUGUCAAAAUGAUACAAAGGUAUCUGCAAUUAAACUCUAAAGCCAGAAUCUCACACUGAACAGUAUCUUUAAAGGGAGUUAAUCUCUUCAUACAGUCCUUGUAUUCUUCUAAUCAAUGUGACUCUGGCAUGUGGCUAUAAAGAUGAGUGUGUUCACCCUAAUUCGGCUCUCCUAAGACAGAAAUGCCACUGCUAUCCUGUGGAGUCUGCACACUACCUCUGCCAAGGUAUUUUCUUUAUCAUGGUCUUGUUUGAACUCUUUUUCUGGGAAAGUAAGUCUAGGGCUCUGACUGGACUGGAUUUUAAGGAGCUAGAGCUAAUCCUGAGAGAAAAGGCGGAGGAGGGCCAAGGAGAUAGUUUAAAGUGCAUCUAAACCAAAGGUCUGUGGAAAAUGAUAAAAACCGAACCAGUAACUAGAAGAUAUUGAUUUAGGCUCCCAUCAUCGAUAACCUAGUCUAACUAGUCUCCCAGGCUCUUUUCUUAUUUUUCAAUUUUUUGUUUUUAUGAGAUGGAGUCUUGCUCUUGUUGCCCAGGCUGGAAUGCAAUGGCACAAUCUCGGCUCACUGCAACCUCUGCCUCCCAGGUUCAGGCAAUUCUCCUGCCUUAGCCUCCCGAGUAGCUGGGAUUACAGGUGUGCGCCACCACCCUUGGCUAAUUUUUGUAUUUUUGGUAGAGAGAGGGUUUCACCAUGUUGGUCAGGCUGGUCUCCAAUUCCUGACCUCAGGUGAUCCACCUGCCUCGGCCUCCCAAAGUCCUGGGAUUACAGGCGUGAGCCACUGUGCCCGACCUCAAUUUUUAAAAUUUAUUUUUUAUUUACUUAUUUUUAGAGACAGAGUCUUAUAAUGUUGCCCAGGCUGCUCUUGAACUCCUGGGUUCAAGCAAUCUUCCCACCUCAGCCUUCUGAGUAGCUGGAAUUAUAGGUGCGCAUCACUGUGCCUGGAAGUCUCCCAGGCUCUCGAUCCACCUCCAAUUCAUUUUCCAUUCCAUAGGUAGGAGACACUUCUAAAAUGCAAAUCUGUUCAGGUUAAUUCCUGUUUAAAAAUCUUUAAUAGCUUCCCAUUGCCUUCAGUAUAGCGCUUAAAUGCCUUAAGAAGGUCUAUAAGGCCCUAAAUGAUCUGGGCUCUGCUGUCUUUUUUCCAUUCCUCUCUUGUCUGGAACUGGCACACAAUUUGUUUACUCUACCUAGAACAACCAACCCCUGCUCCAACCUUUCAGAUCUCUGUUUAUAUAUAACCUUUUCUGGUAAGCCUCCCCUUAUCCUCCAAGACUAACUUAGGAGCCCUUCCUAAAGUAGCCUAAACUUAUCAGAACACAUUCCCUACCAUGUAAUUGCCCAGUUACAUGUUCGCCUCUCCCACUACACUUAGGAUCUACAAGAGUAGGAACUAUGCCUGCUUUAGUCACCAUGAUAUACCCAGGAUGUAGCACAGUGCCAGACACACAGUAGGUCACGAAUAUAUGUUAAAUGAACAAAAGGAAGGGAGUGAAGAGUGAGGAAGGAAGGAAAAGAACCACAACAAAGAAGGAGCCUGUUCCUGAGAAUGGUUGAAAGAUGGAGUCUGAAGUGGUUCCCUGAAACCCUGUAGGUUUAAAGCAAGAUGCCUAUGCCUUUUAAAGUUGGGUGCCUGUGGCUUUAGCCAUAGUAGACAAGGAGCUAGACAAGAUCUUGUUGUUCCAGAGCAGAUGUUAAAAACUAUAGUUUCCAAGGGAAGAACACACCAAGAGAUGCAGAUGUGGGACAACAUUUGGCGCUAAGAAAGAGGCUCAGGAUAUGGGGAGGGAAAAUGAAAAAAGAGAGGAAACUGUUUUUGCUAGUUUGUAAAAAGCAAACACACAAACAAACAAAAUAACAAAGAAGGGUCAAAUCCUGAUUCCAGUAAGGUAACCUUUGACAAUUCAUUUAGCUUCUUUUAAUAAGCGACUUGAUAGUGAUUUUCAAACUGAGUUCUGAGGAACCCUAGGUCACUGCAGAAGCUCCUCAGGGUUUAUUUUGAAGAAUAGAGAAAGUUCAAUGAAUGCUGCCCCAACUUUGACCAGAGAAAAAUUGUUUUUUACACAUUGAGGUUCUGCUUAAAGUCCAUUUCAAAAAAGGGUGCUUCUGCUAAAAAUAAAGUUUGAAUAGCAGUGGCCUGGAUGACCAUUCUGAUACUUCCCAGCCUUAACAACCCUUGAUUCUAUGUGACAGAUGGGACCCAUCUGGACAUUGCCUUUUACUUUGUACAAAUAUUCCUCAAUUGUGUUGAUGACACAGCUGUAGCUUUUCCCAGAGUCUGUUUUCACUGCUUGAGAAGAAUGACAGGAAGGGUAAGUAAACCACAGUCCAGGUUCACUGCAAGGCUCAGACAAUAAUAAAAUGCACUUCUAAACUGCAUUCAACUGUGGCAAUACAGAAGCACAAAGAACAUUUUUUUUUUCCUAAACAAAGUUUUGUAUACCUGUACCCUAGGAUUCAUCAUAUAGGUGUCUUGUGUCUGACACAAAGAUAUUAUAGGUCAAAAAUAAAGAAUACUAGAUCUAGAGCCCAUUAAAAAAAUCAAUCUAAUUCCAAUCAAGAAAGACUACAAAAAUUUAUCUAGUCAGUCCACCUGAUACCAUUACCAUUACCAUAAUGAUACUACAUUACCAUUUAAAUGUAGUGCCUAUUCUUCUUAACAAGGUAUUCUGAAUGUACAAAAGAAUACAACAAAGUUACUUAUCUGAAGGUUACAGGCAGGAAAUGACAUAGAUGAGAGGGAGACGGGAGUCUUACAAAAUAAGAUCUUCAAAUCCCAGGCUUAAGAUAGAGAUCCCUUUUCUGUGCUGUUCCUUGGCUGUCUAUAUUUCAUGGAGCACUAAAAGGCCACAAAUGUCACUCUACUUCAAUUAUGAGAAAAGACAAGCAACAAUGUGAUCUUACCUGGGUCCUUCCUCAUCGCCCUGAAAGACAAACAGAAAGAAACAGUAUUAGAAAUCACUGUUGGUACAGACAGAGUCAGAUUUCUUUCUUUUCCCUCCCCUCUCCCAACCUGAAUGCAUGGACUAUACAUUUAUUGUAACAGAGACAAACCAACAGACAUCUAAAGGCUAAGACAAGAGCUAAUAUAAUCCUAUGUUCAAACUGCCCAGUGGAGAUGACCUGAUAAUUUGCCCUGACAAGCAGAGCAGAGAAGUGAAUGCACAGACCUAGGAGGCCUAAAUAAUUGCCUUGCCUUUUUAUUUGUAUGGCUGGCAGUAUUUAGUUCUUAGCAAAGUGAGAAACCCAAAAUAGAGGCACGUCUUAGACAAAAGCUAGCCAGUUCCAAAAACAUCAAACUGUUUCCUUCAAAGACUCAUUUCUGCCUUGUUCUAGCAUUUUUCAUCAAACAUGAACACUGCAAUUCUAAUAUAAAGAACACUGUGGUAUAAAGGGCACUGAACUGGGACUCAAGAAAUUGGGAUUCUAGUCCAAGCUCUGUUACUUAUUAGUUAUGUGUCCUUGGGCAAACAUUAAUUAAUCUGGACUUUGGUCUUCUCCUCCGUAAGUGGUUAGUUCUGGCAUUUGAUGAUCCACAUCAUUCUUCCAUCAAACAAUGGCUCUUCUCUUUUUCUUGCCCACUUUUCAAAAACAAUGUGUUAACAUUAUUUUUCCAGGUAUGGCAUUCUCUCAACCUAACUUUAUCAGAAGUGAUCACAGCAGAUUCCUUUGAGCUUCCUUCUGUGAUCAAAUUAGAUUUUUCAAAUAACUCUCAAGCCUUUCCCAAGGGACCUCAUUCAUCCUUUUGGUGUCAGCGUAUCUUUUAUAUCCUUCUUUUUAGCCAUUGAAGGGUAGUCUCAAUAGAGAAUGUACAUUCUGGUUGUACUCCUCGGAGAAUGAAUGAAUGAAUGAAUGGUUCCUACUGGUAUAAGGCAGAAUGAGCUCUCAAGUCCGAUGUUCUGGGUUCAAGUCUUAACCCUAUCACUCUACUGCUCUAAUAGCUUACUCAUGUUAUUUUGCCUUUCUUAACUUCAAUUUCCUAAUUUGUAAAAUGGGGUAAUAAUUGUCUCUGUAUCAUAGGAUGAGUAUGAGGAUUAAAUGAAAUAAUGCUUAUAAUCAUCAAACACAGUGCCUGUGACACAGGAUGUAUUUAAUAAAGGCUAUAUAUCAGUAUCAGUAACAAUUCAGUAGGAUUCAUUAAGAAGCUACUAUAUAUAUAUAUGCUAACUAAGGAAAAACAAUCACUCAUAAUGAUCUAACCUUCUAGGAUUUUCGAAUCAGGAGCAUGAGAAACAGGCAGAAAGAAAAUGAACUAUUACUAAAUGUGUUAUGAUCAAUAUCAAAGACAUAAACAGAAUAAUAUGAGAAUCAACAGGGAAGUUAUGAACACUGCCUCUCCUGGAGAAGGUGGGAAAAGCUUCACACACAGAAGGUAACAUUGAUAUUGCCACUUUGAGGGAUAAAUAGUAUUUUCCCAGGCUGACAACAGAGAAAAGUGGGAAGAACACUGAACUAGCAAGAGCAAAGGCAAAUUUCUAAAAAUGUGUUGUUCAAGGGACCUUGAGUUCUGUGAAACUACAGAAUGGGGAUGUGCACAUGUGUGUUUUGGGCAGGGCGCUGGGGGUGGUAUAAGGUUGGAACUGAGGGCAAUGUGGGGUUGAGCGUGACUGAGGUAAAGGGAGACUGCCAGGGUGCAAGCCUGUAAAGUACAGCUGCAGCCAGAAAGGUGAUUUAAAUCAAACUAGCCAUUUGAGGUCGAAUAAGAAGGGCAUUUUUGGCAGACUGUUAAAGAUCUGCAAUAGUGGGAAGGGCGUUAAUCAUCCACACUCCAACUAGAGGGAAGUAGGGCGAGUGGUAGAGGGAGGGUAUAGGGAUGGUGGAAAAUUUCUUCGCAUUUUUAUCAUCUGAUAUGUCUCAUGGGAUCUAUAAUAUACCAAUAAAAAGUUAUAUAAUUUAAAUUUAACAUGAGUUACAUAACUAUGAAUGACAUAAUUAUAUCUCAACACAAAUUUUUCAAUUAUUUUUGGAUGUUUAAGCCUAAUUGUCUAAGAUAACUUUAUGGAAAAAAUAUCUAAACUUUCUCCCAUAAUUUAGAGCAAGUCCUCCUCAAAAUCACAUACCUUGGUGUAAUGAUUAAGAGACAGGGUUUCUCAGUUAUAAUAUAAAAACAUGGUCUCAAAUUCUGGUUCAUUAAUCCCAAAAGUGAAGCUUUUGGCAAUUUUCUUCUCCAAGGUUCAGUUUCUCCAUCUGCACAUAAAGAUCCUAGUUCUUACCUCAAAGGGUCACCAUAUGGAUUAAAAUAAAUGAGAAAAUCUGUGUAAAACACUAAGCAAGUGUCUAGUACCUUGUAAUCGUUCAACAAAUAGUAGCCAUUAUUUUACUUUCCUUGAAUUGUUAAUUAAUAACAUUUCUAGGGGAGAGCGGGGAAGGACAGAAAAGAUGGGACACAAAGUUUUGCUAUAUGUUCAUCCAAUUCUACUGCUUAUAGAUGUAUGCUUCUUUUCAGAAACAAUGGUCACUGUUACAAAGCAAGAAUAUACACACACAUAUGAAUUAUAAAGCCGUUUUGAAUAGGUUGGCACGGAGAGGAUUGCUAACCUUGCUAGUAAAAGAUAUGCAUGUGAUGUUCCUGCUACCUGAAAUGCACAUCCCUAUUCUAAAAACCUAGCUAAUUCCUAUCUAUCCUUUAAGAUCAAGCCUUACUCGAAACUUCUUCACUAACAUCUUGAAUAAGUUAAUCCUCCUCCUUUCUCCCACAUUUGUAGGGUUUGCCACUCUACACUAGUACUUAGAGAAGAAAACUGACAAUGACAACAUCAAACAGUGCCUCCCUCUUUGGAUUUCAACUCCUUGAGAAUAGAACUUGUGUUUUGCUCAUUUCUGUAUUCACCGCACCUAACACAGCACAAGGCUCAUAGUAAAUAAUUAUUCAAGAUAUAGGUAAGCUUUAAGAUUAAUUUCUACUCCUAUUAUAAGCAAAUUCUGGUUUCAGAGAAUAUCAGAAGUGAGAGUCUAUUAAAUACCAACUUCCAUUUAAAUGACUUGUUAGAUUAAGCACUGCUCCCAAAUCCCUAAUUAUCACAAAUGCUCUUUGUGAUAUCUGAUGGCAGACUGCACUCUUGUGCAACCUCCCAUUUCUACCUCCACCAGUGGAAAUGUUGUUCACCAAGAAUCAAACAAGGCUGUUUAUAUGAACUUGUAAUGAUGACACAUUUAAUUAAAUAACAAAAAGUGAAUGCAAGAGAGAUAACUUGCUCACAUAAGAACUAAGUUGAAUGCAUCCACAGAAUUUAAUAAAGAUGAAUUACUUAAAAAUUGUUGUCAAUUUUGGUGUAGGUGAAACACAAGCAAAAUACUAGAAACAGUAAGUUAUAAGAACUAAGAUUCUGCAUUCAGCUUGCUUUGAAUGGUAUCACCCUCACUAUAGACAGUCUGAAAUUGGACCUUAUAAAUGGCGCAAAAUGGGUAUGGUUUAGCCAGAAACAUGACAUUUAACUCUAAUUAGCAAACCCAUAUUUUCAAAGUCCUUGCCUCAGAAUAAAAAAAAAAGUACAAAUAUGUUUCAAGUUUAAAAUAAAUGGUUAUCAUAUGCAUGUAUCAUUUUUAAUGGUUUACCCAUCUGAACAUACUUUUUCCAAUAUUAGCUCAUUGCAACUCAGUAUUCUCCUUACCAAACUGGACAAAAGACAAAAAUGCUCAUGACAUAUAAAUAAAGACACACCAAUUUUUAAUACUUAGCUUUAUAAAGAGUUUUAUAAAAUGAUGUAAGUAAAUUCUGCAAAAAACAGUGAGAAAAAAAAAUAAAGGAGAAGGGAAUACUUUUCAGUUUGUUUUAUGAAGCCAACAUAAUCCUAAUACCCAAACCUGACAAUGGCAUUAUAAAAAUAUAUAAACCAAUAUGCCUUAUGAACAAAGACACAAAACUCCUGAACAAAAUAUAAGCAAACUGAACCCAGAUUAUACAUCAUGGCCAAAUGGGACUUUAUCUCAGAAAUGCAAGGUUAGUUUAAUAUUGUAAAAUUAACCAACAUGAUUAACCAUUACAACAGAAUAAUGAAAAAAAUGCGUAUGAUCAUUUCAAGAGAUACAGAAGAUAUAUCUCACAAAAGUCAACAUCAGUUUGUAUAAAAGCCCUCAGCACAUUAGGAAUAGAAAGGCACUUCCUGAAUCUGAUAAAAGGCAUCUACAAAAAACAUCAUACUUAAUAGUAAUAUACUGAAUCCCUUCCUUCUAAGAUUAUGAACAAGGCAAGGAUGUCCACUUUUACCAUUUAUGUUAGACAUUGCACUGGAGGUUGUAGCCACUGCAGUAAGACAAGACAAAGAAAUAAAAAGCAUAAAGAUUAGAAACAAAGAAAGUAAAACUGUCUCUAUUUGUAGAUGGCAUAAUUGCUGAUAUAGAAAAUCCUAAAGAAUCUAUAAAGCCACUAUUAUAACUAAUAGGUGAAUGUGACAAGGUUACAAGAUAUAAGGCUAAUAUCUGCAGUGAGCCGAGAUCACGCCACUGCACUCCAGCCUGGGCGACAGCAAACCUCCGUCUCAAAAAAAAAAAAAAAAAAGAUAUAAGGCUAAUAUAUAAAAACCAAUUAUAUUUUUAUAUACUAACAUAAGCUGAAAAAUGAAAUUUAAAAACAAUUCUAUUUUCAAUAGUACUGAAAAUAUUAAAUAACUAGGAAUAAAUUUAAUAAAAGCCAUUAAUACCUUUAAAUGAAAACCAUGAACCAUUUCUGAGAGCAUGUAAAAACAGACUUAUAAAUGGAGACAUAUGUUCAUUCAUACUGCUGUUCUGCAGAGCUAAUGUGUCAUUUCUCUUUAGCUACUCUGCUUUCAAGAUUUUUUUUCUUUGUCAUUAGUUUUCAGAAGUUUGACUCUGAUGUGUCUGGCUAUGGAUUUCUUAGUUUAUCUUGCUUAGGUUCACUCUGCUUCUUAAAUCUGUAGGUUUAUGUCUUUCAGCCAAAUUUUAGAUAUUUUAAGACACUAUUACUUCAAACUAUUUUUUCAGCUCUACUUUCCUUUUUCCCCUCUUGACACUGGUGACAUGUAUCUUUCAUUAUUGUCCUAUAAGUCCCUGAAGCUCAGUUCAAUUAUUUUUCCAUGUUUUUUUGCUGCUGUUUAGAUUGGAUCAGUAUCAAUCUAUCUUCAAAUUCACCAAAUCUUUCUUUCGGUUUGCCAUUAAGCCCAUCCAGUGAAUUUUUGGUGUCAGUUACUGUAUUUUUCAGUUCUAAAAUUUUCAUUUGGUACUUUUUAAUAUCUUUAUUUCUUUAUUGAGGUUUUCAUUUAUUUCCAGAGUGCUUGUAAUUGCUCACUGAAACAUUCUUAUAACAGCAGGUUAAAAUCUUUGUCUUUUAAUUCCUACAUCUAUGCCAUCUUAGAGUUAGCAUAUAUCAAUUCUCUUUUCUCCUUAGAAUUGAGAUUUUCAUUUCAUUUUAUUUUUGAGACAGGGUCUUGCACUGUCACCCAUACUGGGGUAUAGUGCUGUGAACACAGAUCACUGCAGCCUCAACCUCCUGGGUUCAAACGAUCCUCUUGCCUCGGGCUUACAGAAUUGAGAUUUUUAUUGGUUCUUUGGUCUGUAUCCUGGACAUGAUGAGUUAUAUUAUAAAAACCUAGUUCCUAUUUAAAUCUUCUAUUUUAGCAGUCAACCUGUUUAGAUUCAGAAUGCAUGUCCUGGAUCCUUUUUGUGAACUAUGGUUCAUAUGUCACCUUAAGUUUAUAAAGCCUCUACAGUGCUAUUCUUGUCUGCCCCACUCAAAUGACAGGACUCCAUUCUACAUUCUCCACAGAGCUAGUUGGGGAGGAGGAGGGAAACCAAAUCAUUACUACAGGGCAGGAGUGAAUGAUAAAAUUCCAAUAACUGACUCAGCUGGGGAAGUGCAUAGCCUAGUUAAUGCAGGGGUGAGAGGGAGGAGUUAGAGCUCUAUCUACAGUCUCCAAAACGAAGAGGUACUACUUCCUCCGUACUAUUACUGCAGGGUACGGCAGAAGUCAGAGUUCCACCUACGGAUGCAUAGGAGAUGGGUUCCACUCAUUACUGGGAGGAGCAGGGCCAAAGGUAGAAGUAAGAGUUUCACCCACAGGCUCCAUAGAGAAAGAUACCUCAUUAACAUAGGGCAUAUAUAAAAUGAGUGAGUUUCACUCACUGGCUCCACUGCUGCGUGCCAAUUGGGGUUGAGGAGCAGUGCCACUUUUUUCAUGAUGUUUGCUUCCAGAAGCAGGCUUUUCUUGGGUAUUUUUUUUUUGUCUGUGUGUAUUAGUGUUUCCAGUUUGUAGAACACCCAGGCUAGCAUACAUAGGAAGUAAAGAAAACCCCAGGGAAUUCACUGCCUUGUAUCCUCUCAAAUCCCAAGGUCCCUGAUCAGUAUGCCAUCUUUUUUCCACCUGCAAGAGUCUUUUGGUAGAUGAUUUCAGCAUUUUUGCCCAGAGAUUUCUACUGUAAUAAGUGAAAGGAGUAAAAUAGAAUGUGUUUACUCCAUCUUGCUCAGAACCAGAAGCUGCAAUUUGCUUUAAAUAUGCCAAAAAUAAAAUAGAUCAGUGAGUGGAAGGUUGAAAAGAUGGCUAGAUAUGUAAUGAAGCAAGUACGGCAAAAUGUUAAUAGGAGAAUCUAGGUGGUAGGUACAUAGGCAUAAUCUGUAAAAUCCUUUCAACUGUGGUGUAUGUUUAAAAAAUUUUAUAAUAAAAUGUUGGAGGGAAGGUCUUAUGGCUGAAUUCAAAAUGCAGGUGAUUUUUGAUAAAUUCUAUACCACAAAAAGAACAUAAUUCCUCUGAUGACUGAAAGACAGGUACUAGAUAUUUGCUCUCACCAAUAAGUUACCAGAUUAACUGGAACAAGAGGCUAUUAAAUAAUAACAGCUCUUUGUAAACACUCUAGUGGCUGAACGCUAUCUCUGUUUUUAAUAGCUCAUUUUGUCUGUAGCCUGGUCCUUAAGCCUUGUCAGCUCUUGCAUCCCUUUAAGAGUAAUUCCAUCAGAGUUAACAAGCAUAGUACAGCUGAGGUGCUUAAAGGACAGCUAAUGUCAGAGAAGGACUAAAUUCAUAGAUUAAAAUAAAAGAGAAGAAUAAACCCCAAAAUUAAACUUUUUUUUUUGAGAUGGAGUUUCACUCUGUCUCCCAGGCUGGGGUGCAGUGGCUGCAAUCUUGGCUCACUGCAACCUCCACCUCCUGGGUUCAAGCGAUUCUUCUGCCUCAGCCUCCCAAGUAGCUGGGACUGCAGGUGCUCGCCACCAUACCCAGCUAAUUUUUCUAUUUUUAGUACAGACAGGGUUUUGCCAUGUUGGCCAGGGCAGGCUUAAACUCCUGACCUCAGGUGAUCCUCCCACCUCGGCCUGCCAAAGUGCUGGGAUUACAGGCGUGAGCCACCACGCCUAGCCAAAAUUAAAUUUUUAUUUUUCAAAGAACAACCUAAUCAACAUAGGGAAUAAAUGAAGGGGUCGAACUUGAUAGGAACUGUGGACAGAAUUAUGCUGUCGAUCCCUUGAAUUAACUCUGGUUGAACCUUUUGUUUAUUAAGACACAAACUGACCAUCUUGACAUUGUAAAGGUAUGCAAAGCUGUCUAGAACAUGGAUUCUUCUCAUUUUCCCACAGAUACAGAUGGGAUGCUUAGCAUAUGUCUUAUAGUAGGGGGAAAGCACAGGCACUGAAAUAGCACAGACUUAAAUCUAAACCCUGGCUCUAUUUUCUACUGACUAAAUGAUAUUGGGUCAGUAUCUCUGCAGUUCUCUGUAUCUCAAAUAUCCCAUUUGUAAAAUGGAGUUAAUGCUGACGUAAGGAUUAAAUGAAAUGAUGAAUAUAAAGUGCUCUCUUGCCUAUCUAGAAACUUAUGUAGGCACAUAAUUUCUCAAUUAUGGGGAGAAUAAAAUGAAAAGAAGAAGAGUUAUUCUUUUCACACAUUGAUGAAAAUUAAUCAAAAGCCCUGGAUGGGUAUAGCAGAUACCUUUCAAUGGUUUCUUACAUUUCCUGUCAGGAUAGCUUGGAAAUACCUGCCUCCUGGAUUACUUUGGCUCUUCUACUGGCCAGUUUAUUCUGUGGCCAGGCUCUCUCAAGCCAAGGCAGGACGUCCAGUUAAGGAUGGACUUGCUGAGUCAGCAACAGUCCUAGAAAGUCCACAGGACUCUCCUAUGUUUUUUUUCUAGAAGGACCUACCCUAAACCUAUCUGGCAUUACCUUCACUAGAAUUGUCAAAUUAUGAAAUCUGAUUAAUAGUAGCCUCUCUCUAGUGGCUGAAAUAUAAGUUUUUUGGUUUUUUUUUUUUUUUGAGACAGGAUCUCACUCUGUCACACAGGGUGGAGUGCAAUGGCACAAUCACAGCUCACUGCAGCCUCAACCUCCGGGGCUCAAGUAAUCUUCCUACCUCUCCUGAAUAGCUGGGACUACAGGCAGGUGAGACCAUGUCUGCUACUUUUUUAUUUUUUUUUUGUAGACACAGGGUCUCACUAUGUUGCCCAGGCUGGUCUCAAACUCCUGGACUCAAGCAAUCCUUCCACCCUAGCCUCCCAAAGUGCUGGGAUUACAGGCGUGAGCCACUGAGCCCAGCUUGUACUUUUUUUUUUUAAUGGCUACCUUAAAUAAUUUUUUCAAAGUAGAUUCAAAAUGCCUAAAUAUGUUGUUUGGUAAAAUGCCUAAGACCCUUUUAUUCCCGUUAAAAAUAACAAUGAAUAUGACAACUAACAUUUGUAUAGUGAUUCAACAUUUACCUUGUGUCUUUCAUUCAUAGUUUUUUUUUUUUUUUAAUCUUACAAUGCCCUAGUGCACAUGCCAUUCUUAAUCCAGCAGUUAUGCCUCCAAUUUAUGCAGCUGGCUCCAUAUAACAACCAGCUUGAGACACCUUUUCACUAUGUACAAAGUAAGUCCAAAAUCUUUCAUUCUGGCCUGCUUUAUGCUCUACUUCAUGAUUUGUUCUCAUUCAGCCCAGGUCUAUGAUGACUUUAAAGGCUCAUUUCACAACUUGGGGUCUGUCGCUUGCCCUCUUCUCUGGCUGUAAUUUUUGGCUUCCUUUCUUAAUUGUGAUUAGUAUCUGCCCCCACUGACUAUACUCCUUAAAGUAAUGAUGGAUAAAUAAUUUGGUAGGCCCAGCCACUGAGUAAACUAGUGGCCAAUACUUCCAUACUGGUUUAUACACCAUGUGAAACACUUAUACUCUACCUAGACUUCAAUUCAUUCACGUUCAGGGACCACAUGGGGUCUAACAAAUAUGGCAUCAGUUUCCUCCUAUUUCUCUUGCUACUAAUAAUUAUGGGCUUUUCCUUUACCUCUGCCUUUGGCUCAGCUGAUUCAUUAGAGGUAUCAAGUUGUUCCUUGGCUUGGGCCAUCUGAGUCAUC
rnacentral:lncRNA from 10 species